GCUUAACACAUGCAAGUCGAACGGAGUGGUUCUCCCGAGGAUUGAAGGUGCUUGCACCUGAUUGACUCAUUGAAUCACUUAGUGGCGGACGGGUGAGUAACGCGUGGGAAACCUGCCCUAUACUGGGGGAUAGCAGUUGGAAACGACUGAUAAUACCGCAUAAGCGCACAGGAUCGCAUGAUCUAGUGUGAAAAACUCCGGUGGUAUAGGAUGGUCCCGCGUCUGAUUAGCUAGUUGGUGAGGUAACGGCCCACCCAAGGCGACGAUCAGUAGCCGGCCUGAGAGGGUGUACGGCCACAUUGGGACUGAGACACGGCCCAAACUCCUACGGGAGGCAGCAGUGGGGAAUAUUGGACAAUGGGGGAAACCCUGAUCCAAGCGACGCCGCGUGAACGAUGAAGUAUUUCGGUAUGUAAAGUUCUAUCAGCAGGGAAGAUAAUGACGGUACCUGACUAAGAAGCACCGGCUAAAUACGUGCCAGCCGCUGC
rnacentral:rRNA from 1 species